CCGAACUCGGCCGUUAAACUCUUCAGCGCCAAUGGUACUAUGGCUUAAGCCCUGGGAGAGUAGGUCGCUGCCAGGC
rnacentral:rRNA from 1 species